UACGGGGGGGGGCAAGCGUUUGUUCGGAAUUACUGGGCGUAAAGGGCGCGUAGGCGGCCUUCUAAGUCGGACGUGAAAUCCCUCGGCUUAACCGAGGAACUGCGUCCGAUACUGAAAGGCUUGAAUCCGGGAGAGGGAUGUGGAAUUCCAGGUGUAGCGGUGAAAUGCGUAGAUAUCUGGAGGAACACCGGUGGCGAAGGCGGCAUCCUGGACCGGUAUUGACGCUGAGGCGCGAAAGCUAGGGGAGCAAACGGGG
rnacentral:rRNA from 1 species